rnacentral:rRNA from 1 species
UACGUAGGGUGCGAGCGUUAAUCGGAAUUACUGGGCGUAAAGCGCGCGUAGGCGGACCUGCAAGUCGGGGGGUGAAAGCCCGAGGCUCAACCUCGGAACUGCCUUCGAUACUGCGGGUCUCGAGUCCGGGAGAGGUGAGUGGAAUUCCUAGUGUAGAGGUGAAAUUCGUAGAUAUUAGGAAGAACACCAGUGGCGAAGGCGGCUCACUGGCCCGGUACUGACGCUGAGGCGCGAAAGCGUGGGGAGCAAACAGG